rnacentral:miRNA from 1 species
AGGGCCUCAGGACUCAGGAGGUGA